rnacentral:tmRNA from 1 species
GGGGACGUACUGGAUUUUGACAGGAUGCUUGAUGGGAAUAGGUUGCGAGUCCGAGCGCUGUUCUCGGUUAUCAACGAGCAAAACAAAUUAAGUGCUAACAACAAUGUUGUAGUAGCUGAUUUCUCUAGAGCACAAGCUCUAGCUGCGUAGAUUAAGUUCCGCAGUUCAGCCUUCUGAGUAGUCCAGCUUGCCGAUUUCUCAGGAGCCACCAUGCAAGACGCAGUGCGGUGAUGAUUGUAACCGUAUCAAGCUAACAAUCAAGGUGCGGAACACUUUAAAAUCCUUUGAUUAAGUUAUCGGGUUUGACUUUUCCUGACUUAGUUGAGUAAAUAAAGCCUACACUCGUAGAGAUUUAUUUUUAUCCAUUUUGGACGCGGGUUCGACUCCCACCGUCUCCAGUU